rnacentral:lncRNA from 1 species
CUUAAUGAAUCCAUAAUGUCUCCUAUAGAUUUCUGUUCCACAUCUCAAGUGUGUAUAAAUUAGUCCUUAAAUAUUUAAUUCUAGAAUCUAGAAAAUAGUCUUUUUCAACUUAUUUGGAGACAUUUAUUGAGUUCUAUAACCAUUGGCUAUCUUACAAAACUGCUGUGUAAUAAAUAACAAAAACUCAGUAGCCUGGAACAAUAAAUAUUUGUUUAUUUCAUGUCUGUCUUUGCAGCUCAGCUGAUCUUGGCUGAACUUCCUUAUAUCUCUGUGAUGCUCUAGGGGCUCUGCAAGUCUCGACUGGAGCAUCGUACCCGGAGCAACUCCGAUCUAUAUGUCUCUCAUUCUCAUCCUCAUCCUUAUCCUGAGAAUGCCCUUCUCAUGGAAAUGUCGGAAGAGGAAGAACAAGGAGGCCAGUCACAGAAGCACACCCCAAUUCUCUGCUCCCAUCACAUCUACUAACACACUACUGGCCACAGCAGACUACACACCCAAGCUAAGUAUACAUGGAAUAUUAUUCAGCCAUAAAAAAGAAAAAAUCCCACCUUUUGCACAACACGGUUGGACCUUGAGGGCAUUAUGCUAAGUGAAAUAAGUCAGAGGAAGACAAAACUGUCAGGAAGCACCCGGAAGUCAGAAGGGCUUCAGCUCACCUCAGAGCUCAGCACCUCAUCUAACUGCUCCUCCAAGUCUUAGAAAGCUUUUAGUGUUGCUAUAUGAAUUCAGCCUCAGCUUCUCGACUCAAGUUGACCAGAUCUUGGCUCCAAACCACUGAAGGCCCAGGUCCCAGCUGUCAAUGUCCUAGAAGCUCCAGGCCAAGUUUAUUUGUUUCUUUUCUCAUUUGUUUCUUUUCUUUAGGGUGCAGUUUCUGUGGUGACCUCUCUUACAUUUUAUUAAAUGGUUA